CCUACGGGUGGCAGCAGUGAGGAAUAUUGGACAAUGGACGAGAGUCUGAUCCAGCCAAGUAGCGUGAAGGAUGACUGCCCUCUGGGUUGUAAACUUCUUUUAUAUGGGACUAAAAUGUUCCACGUGUGGGAUUAUGUAUGUACAAUAUGAUUCAGGAUCGGCUAACUCCGUGCCAGCAGCAGCGGUAAUACGGAGGAUCCGAGCGUUAUGCGGAUUUAUUGGGUUUAAAGGGAGCGUAGGUGGAUUGUUAAGUCAGUUGUGAAAGUUUGCGGCGCAACCGUAAAAUUGCAGUUGAUACUGGCAGUCUGGAGUACAGUAGAGGUGGGCGGAAUUCGUGGUGUAGCGGUGAAAUGCUUAGAUAUCACGAAGAACUCCGAUUGCGAAGGCAGCUCACUGGACUGCAACUGACACUGAGGCUCGAAAGUGUGGGUAUCAAACAGGAUUAGAUACCCGUGUAGUC
rnacentral:rRNA from 1 species